UAAGGAAUAUUGCUCAAUGGGAGAAAUCCUGAAGCAGCAACGCCGCGUGGAGGAUGAAGGGUCUAUGACUUGUAAACUCCUGUAAAGAAGGAAAAAAUUCCCAUUUGAUGGGAGAUGAUGGUACUUCUGGAGUAAGCCCCGGCUAACUACGUGCCAGCUGCCGCGGUAAUACGUAGGGGGCAAGCGUUGUCCGGAUUUACUGGGUGUAAAGGGUGCUCAGGCGGAUUUGUAAGUCAGAGGUGAAAUCUUACAGCUUAACUGUGAAACUGCCUUUGAUACUGCAAGCCUAGAGUAUGGAAGAGAGUGAUGGAAUAUCUGGUGUAGCAGUGAAAUGCGUAGAUAUCAGAUAGAACACCAAUGGCGAAGGCAGUCACUUAGUCCAUUACUGACGCUAAAGCACGAAAGCGUGGGUAGCAAAC
rnacentral:rRNA from 1 species